rnacentral:lncRNA from 1 species
UAAAUCAAUCAAUUCAUAUACAUCAGAUAUACAGCCUCUUGAUUGCAUUAUCAUCAUAUUUUGGUGAAUGGAAUCCAUCAUAGCAUCAAUCCGACCUUUGGAUCAUUUCAUAAAAUAUAUAAUUUUUGCAUUGAAGUUCCUAAAGAAAUUUUAGUAAUUCAUAGAUAUAUGGAGAAUCCCAAAUAGAAAAAGAAGGGGAACAGAAAACCUCGCACUACUGUAUCUUUUAACAAAUCUCUGCAAGAAAAUGGUCUGUGCAAUACUUCGAGUGAUCAAUCAUGUCAACCAGUGUUUCUCAUCCCUGCUGCAAUGCCAUUGAUCGUGAUGAGCAAU